CCUACGGGAGGCUGCAGUGGGGAAUAUUGGACAAUGGGGGCAACCCUGAUCCAGCCAUGCCGCGUGUGUGAAGAAGGCCCUCGGGUUGUAAAGCACUUUCAGUGAGGAAGAACGCCUGGUGGUUAAUACCCAUCAGGAAAGACAGCACUCACAGAAGAAGCACCGGCUAACUCCGUGCCAGCAGCCGCGGUAAUACGGAGGGUGCGAGCGUUAAUCGGAAUUACUGGGCGUAAAGCGCGCGUAGGUGGCUUGAUAAGCCGGUUAUGAAAGCCCCGGGCUCAACCUGGGAACGGCAUCCGGAACUGUCAAGCUAGAGUGCAGGAGAGGAAGGUAGAAUUCCCGGUGUAGCGGUGAAAUGCGUAGAGAUCGGGAGGAAUACCAGUGGCGAAGGCGGCCUUCUGGACUGACACUGACACUGAGGUGCGAAAGCGUGGGUAGCAAACAGGAUUAGAUACCCUAGUAGUC
rnacentral:rRNA from 1 species